rnacentral:rRNA from 1 species
UAGGGAAUCUUCGGCAAUGGACGGAAGUCUGACCGAGCAACGCCGCGUGAGUGAAGAAGGUUUUCGGAUCGUAAAGCUCUGUUGUAAGAGAAGAACGAGUGUGAGAGUGGAAAGUUCACACUGUGACGGUAUCUUACCAGAAAGGGACGGCUAACUACGUGCCAGCAGCCGCGGUAAUACGUAGGUCCCGAGCGUUGUCCGGAUUUAUUGGGCGUAAAGCGAGCGCAGGCGGUUAGAUAAGUCUGAAGUUAAAGGCUGUGGCUUAACCAUAGUACGCUUUGGAAACUGUUUAACUUGAGUGCAAGAGGGGAGAGUGGAAUUCCAUGUGUAGCGGUGAAAUGCGUAGAUAUAUGGAGGAACACCGGUGGCGAAAGCGGCUCUCUGGCUUGUAACUGACGCUGAGGCUCGAAAGCGUGGGGAGCAAACAGGAUUAGAUACCCUGGUAGUCCACGCCGUAAACGAUGAGUGCUANGCGUUAAAAAAAAAGGGNNGGGGGUNAACCCCUUCCCGGGGUUUUUGGGGCNCCAACNNAAAANANNACCCCCCCGGUG